UGAUUUUUGAGUCUGGGAAAACCGAGAGAAGACCAAUGAAAAUGCACGAAGAAAGCAAAUGUAAAUUUUUGGAGGUUACCAACAAAGUACUCCUUCCAUCACAUAUUAAGUGACUCAAAUUUGUUCAAAUAUGAAUGUAUCUGUAUUUAUCUCAACAGGCAAGCAUGACAACUCAGCAAACCCACCAUGCACAUUGUCAUGCAAACUAUGUCACCUUAUCAAG
rnacentral:lncRNA from 1 species